UACGGAGGGUGCAAGCGUUAUCCGGAUUCACUGGGUUUAAAGGGUGCGUAGGUGGGUUGGUAAGUCAGUGGUGAAAUCUCCGAGCUUAACUUGGAAACUGCCAUUGAUACUAUCAGUCUUGAAUACCGUGGAGGUCAGCGGAAUAUGUCAUGUAGCGGUGAAAUGCUUAGAUAUGACAUAGAACACCAAUUGCGAAGGCAGCUGACUACGCGAAUAUUGACACUGAUGC
rnacentral:rRNA from 1 species